rnacentral:rRNA from 1 species
AGCGGAUGAGUGGAGCUUGCUCCAUGAUUCAACGGCGGACGGGUGAGUAAUGCCUAGGAAUCUGCCUGGUAGUGGGGGACAACGUUUCAAAAGGAACGCUAAUACCGCAGACAUCCUACGGGAGAAAGUGGGGGAUCUUCGGACCUCACGCUAUCAGAUGAGCCUAGGUCGGAUUAGCUAGUUGGUGAGGUAAAGGCUCACCAAGGCGACGAUCCGUAACUGGUCUGAGAGGAUGAUCAGUCACACUGGAACUGAGACACGGUCCAGACUCCUACGGGAGGCAGCAGUGGGGAAUAUUGGACAAUGGGCGAAAGCCUGAUCCAGCCAUGCCGCGUGUGUGAAGAAGGUCUUCGGAUUGUAAAGCACUUUAAGUUGGGAGGAAGGGCACUAAGUUGAUACCUUGCUGUUUUGACGU